UACGAAGGGGGCUAGCGUUGUUCGGAUUUACUGGGCGUAAAGCGCACGUAGGCGGAUUGUUAAGUCGGGGGGGAAAUCCUGGAGCUCAACUCCAGAACUGCCUUCGAUACUGGCAAUCUCGAGUCCGGAAGAGGUAAGUGGAACUCCUAGUGUAGAGGUGGAAUUCGUAGAUAUUAGGAAGAACACCAGUGGCGAAGGCGGCUUACUGGUCCGGUACUGACGCUGAGGUGCGAAAGCGUGGGGAGCAAACAGG
rnacentral:rRNA from 1 species